UGUGGGAAGGCCCAGACAGCCAGGAUGUUGGCUUAGAAGCAGCCAUCAUUUAAAGAAAGCGUAAUAGCUCACUGGUCGAGUCGGCCUGCGCGGAAGAUGUAACGGGGCUAAACCAUGCACCGAAGCUGCGGCAGCGACACUAUGUGUUGUUGGGUAGGGGAGCGUUCUGUAAGCCUGUGAAGGUGGCCUGUGAGGGUUGCUGGAGGUAUCAGAAGUGCGAAUGCUGACAUAAGUAACGAUAAAGCGGGUGAAAAGCCCGCUCGCCGGAAGACCAAGGGUUCCUGUCCAACGUUAAUCGGGGCAGGGUGAGUCGACCCCUAAGGCGAGGCCGAAAGGCGUAGUCGAUGGGAAACAGGUUAAUAUUCCUGUACUUGGUGUUACUGCGAAGGGGGGACGGAGAAGGCUAUGUUGGCCGGGCGACGGUUGUCCCGGUUUAAGCGUGUAGGCUGGUUUUCCAGGCAAAUCCGGAAAACCAAGGCUGAGGCGUGAUGACGAGGCACUACGGUGCUGAAGUGACAAAUGCCCUGCUUCCAGGAAAAGCCUCUAAGCAUCAGGUAACAUCAAAUCGUACCCCAAACCGACACAGGUGGUCAGGUAGAGAAUACCAAGGCGCUUGAGAGAACUCGGGUGAAGGAACUAGGCAAAAUGGUGCCGUAACUUCGGGAGAAGGCACGCUGAUAUGUAGGUGAAGCGACUUGCUCGUGGAGCUGAAAUCAGUCGAAGAUACCAGCUGGCUGCAACUGUUUAUUAAAAACACAGCACUGUGCAAACACGAAAGUGGACGUAUACGGUGUGACGCCUGCCCGGUGCCGGAAGGUUAAUUGAUGGGGUUAGCGGUAACGCGAAGCUCUUGAUCGAAGCCCCGGUAAACGGCGGCCGUAACUAUAACGGUCCUAAGGUAGCGAAAUUCCUUGUCGGGUAAGUUCCGACCUGCACGAAUGGCGUAAUGAUGGCCAGGCUGUCUCCACCCGAGACUCAGUGAAAUUGAACUCGCUGUGAAGAUGCAGUGUACCCGCGGCAAGACGGAAAGACCCCGUGAACCUUUACUAUAGCUUGACACUGAACAUUGAGCCUUGAUGUGUAGGAUAGGUGGGAGGCUUUGAAGUGUGGACGCCAGUCUGCAUGGAGCCGACCUUGAAAUACCACCCUUUAAUGUUUGAUGUUCUAACGUUGGCCCCUAAUCGGGGUUGCGGACAGUGUCUGGUGGGUAGUUUGACUGGGGCGGUCUCCUCCUAAAGAGUAACGGAGGAGCACGAAGGUUGGCUAAUCCUGGUCGGACAUCAGGAGGUUAGUGCAAUGGCAUAAGCCAGCUUGACUGCGAGCGUGACGGCGCGAGCAGGUGCGAAAGCAGGUCAUAGUGAUCCGGUGGUUCUGAAUGGAAGGGCCAUCGCUCAACGGAUAAAAGGUACUCCGGGGAUAACAGGCUGAUACCGCCCAAGAGUUCAUAUCGACGGCGGUGUUUGGCAC
rnacentral:rRNA from 1 species